UUCUAUUGUCAGGUACAGAAUCGUUUUGUCGGCAGUUUUGCGAACUGCUGCCUGUUGUUUGAUGUAUCUUUGACUUAAUUUUAAAGUCUAAGUAUUGGAGAGUGAAGACUUUAUCAAAGUACGGGGACCCGAAGGAUCGAGUAAGUCUAAGUAUUGGAGAGUGAAGACUUUAUCGAAGUACGGGGACCCGAAGGAUCGAGUAAGGAAAUACAACCCCAGUCCACUCAAACUCCGCACAAAUAGCCAAACUUCCAUCCCUGGAACUGCCCAGUCAGCGUGAAGAACAGUCAC